CGAUGAUUGACACCAUCGAGGUUCCUCGUAUCGUCUCUUUGAAAACAGCAAUACUUGGAGAUAAGCAAAAUCAGACAUGGAUCUGAACAUUACAUCUGUGAGUAAAGAAGAUGAAGCAAACUAUUUCUGCCGAGAGCAUUAUUCACAGAAUUGGAGUGGAUUGUUUUUGUCUGUCAAAGAUCCCAAUGACCAGAGGUUUGUCUCCCAGACUGUGGUCCAACAGUCUGUGUCUGCAUCAGCUCAGCUGGGAGACCCUGUGGCUCUCCAAUGCUCUAUUACCUCCCAGAGGACGGACCACAGUAACCAGUGCCAAGGGGAACCCAGUGUGUACUGGUUCAGAUCAGGACCAUCUCACCCUGCUGCCAUUUACAUGAAUGGAAACAGGAGUGGUGAAUGUCAGGAUAGUUCUGGUCCGUCUGCUCCACAGAGCUGUGUCUACACUCUCCCCAAGAACAAUGUAGACUCCUCUGAUGCUGGGACUUACUACUGUGCCCUGGCAGCAUGCGGGGAAGUUGUGUUUGGAAAUGGAACCAAGCUGGACAUAACAGAUCCCAACUGUCUUCUAGUGAUCUUGGUGCAUCGGAUUCUGUUGGCCUGCUGUCUGCUUGUGAUUAUAAUCCUCAUUCUCAUCAUACAUUACAGGACGGGGAAACCAAAACCCAUGCAGAGCUAGAGUUCUCUGGCAGAAAAACCAAAGGAGGGAAGAAGAACAGUGAAAGGACUCAGGAGAGCCUGUAUUCUGCUGUGAGAGAAACCUGCCCCUGAAGUCUAUCAAACAGGUCCAAAUCUAGUUAGAUGUCCUCAAUAUUGCGACCUGGAUGUGAAUUACAUUUCUAAAGGUGUACAAAGUAUAAGCUUAAAAUUAGAUUAGAUAAGUUAGGGUAAAUAGUAUGAAUAUGAGAGGAGCUUUUUUUCAUAGGCAUGUCGUAUUAACUCCCACUUAACACUGGGGGUUAUACUAGGCUUGGGUUUGUGUGGCUUCACUGACAAGUGUGGUAUAUUUGUGUGGCUGUGGCGAUGUUCAUGAUGUUUCAUUUAUUGGUUAUUUUCUACUCAAAAUGUUGUCAAUAAAGGAAUUUAAUGAAUUAAUAAAUAUGUUUAUAUUGUAUAUUCAAAUUCAAAUACAAAGUUUUAUUGGUCACAUGUUUGCAAAAAAUAAGAUUUUACAUGCAGUGAAAUUAAAAAGGGUUCACCACUCUGUCAUUCAUUGUGCAAAUUACCGGAACCUGAAUAAAUAAUAGAUAAUAGUAAUUUAAAAACAGACAUCCCUUAAUGAGAUGAUGCUAUAGAAACGGUCAUUAAAAAAAAAAG